rnacentral:rRNA from 1 species
AACGAACGCUGGCGGUAGGCCUAACACAUGCAAGUCGAACGCUCCGCAAGGGGAGUGGCGCACGGGUGAGUAACACGUGGGAACCUACCUUCUGGUACGGAACAACCAAGGGAAACUUUGGCUAAGACCGUAUACGACCUCCGGGUGAAAGAUUGAUCGCCGGAAGAGGGGCCCGCGUCCGAUUAGGUAGUUGGUGAGGUAACGGCUCACCAAGCCUUCGAUCGGUAGCUGGUCUGAGAGGAUGACCAGCCACACUGGGACUGAGACACGGCCCAGACUCCUACGGGAGGCAGCAGUGGGGAAUAUUGGACAAUGGGCGCAAGCCUGAUCCAGCCAUGCCGCGUGAGUGAUGAAGGCC